rnacentral:rRNA from 1 species
UACAGGGGGUGCAAACGUUGCUCGGAAUUAUUGGGCGUAAAGCGCACGUAGGCGGUUCGUUAUGUCGGAUGUGAAAGCCCUUGGCUCAACUGAGGAAGUGCAUCCGAAACUGGCGAGCUAGAGUAUGUAAGAGGGUCGCGGAAUUCCCGGUGUAGAGGUGAAAUUCGUAGAUAUCGGGAGGAACACCGGUGGCGAAGGCGGUUCUCUGGGCCUGACCUGACGCUGAGGAGCGAAAGCGUGGGGAGCGAACAGG